GGUUAAUACCCAUUAGAUUAGACGUUACCUGCAGAAUAAGCACCGGCUAACUCUGUGCCAGCAGCCGCGGUAAUACAGAGGGUGCGAGCGUUAAUCGGAAUUACUGGGCGUAAAGCGAGUGUAGGUGGCUCAUUAAGUCACAUGUGAAAUCCCCGGGCUUAACCUGGGAACUGCAUGUGAUACCGGUGGUGCUAGAAUAUGUGAGAGGGAAGUAGAAUUCCAGGUGUAGC
rnacentral:rRNA from 1 species